rnacentral:rRNA from 1 species
ACGCUGGCGGCAGGCCUAACACAUGCAAGUCGAGCGGUAGAGAGAAGCUUGCUUCUCUUGAGAGCGGCGGACGGGUGAGUAAUGCCUAGGAAUCUGCCUGGUAGUGGGGAUAACGUUCGGAAACGGACGCUAAUACCGCAUACGUCCUACGGGAGAAAGCAGGGGACCUUCGGGCCUUGCGCUAUCAGAUGAGCCUAGGUCGGAUUAGCUAGUUGGUGGGGUAAUGGCUCACCAAGGCGACGAUCCGUAACUGGUCUGAGAGGAUGAUCAGUCACACUGGAACUGAGACACGGUCCAGACUCCUACGGGAGGCAGCAGUGGGGAAUAUUGGACAAUGGGCGAAAGCCUGAUCCAGCCAUGCCGCGUGUGUGAAGAAGGUCUUCGGAUUGUAAAGCACUUUAAGUUGGGAGGAAGGGUUGUAGAUUAAUACUCUGCAAUUUUGACGUUACCGACAGAAUAAGCACCGGCUAACUCUGUGCCAGCAGCCGCGGUAAUACAGAGGGUGCAAGCGUUAAUCGGAAUUACUGGGCGUAAAGCGCGCGUAGGUGGUUAGUUAAGUUGGAUGUGAAAUCCCCGGGCUCAACCUGGGAACUGCAUUCAAAACUGACUGACUAGAGUAUGGUAGAGGGUGGUGGAAUUUCCUGUGUAGCGGUGAAAUGCGUAGAUAUAGGAAGGAACACCAGUGGCGAAGGCGACCACCUGGACUGGUACUGACACUGAGGUGCGAAAGCGUGGGGAGCAAAC